UACGUAGGGUGCAAGCGUUGUCCGGAAUUAUUGGGCGUAAAGAGCUUGUAGGCGGUUUGUCGCGUCUGCUGUGAAAUUUCGGGGCUCAACCCCGAACUUGCAGUGGGUACGGGCAGACUAGAGUGUGGUAGGGGAGACUGGAAUUCCUGGUGUAGCGGUGAAAUGCGCAGAUAUCAGGAGGAACAUCAGUGGCGAAGGCGGCCCUCUGGUCCAGUACUGACACUCAAGUGCGAAAGCGUGGGGAGCAAACAGG
rnacentral:rRNA from 1 species